rnacentral:rRNA from 1 species
AGAGUUUGAUCAUGGCUCAGGACGAACGCUGGCGGCGUGCCUAACACAUGCAAGUCGAACGGGACUGGGGGCAACUCCAGUUCAGUGGCGGACGGGUGCGUAACACGUGAGGAACAUGACUUUCGGUGGGGGAUAGCCGGCCCAACGGCCGGGUAAUACCGCGUACGACCUUUCGGGGACAUCCCCGGUUGGUGAAAGCAGCAAUGCGCCGAAAGAGUGCCUCGCGGCCUAUCAGCUAGUUGGUGGGGUAACGGCCCACCAAGGCAACGACGGGUAGCUGGUCUGAGAGGAUGGCCAGCCACAUUGGGACUGAGACACGGCCCAGACUCCUACGGGAGGCAGCAGUGGGGAAUAUUGCGCAAUGGGCGAAAGCCUGACGCAGCGACGCCGCGUGUGGGAUGACGGCCUUCGGGUUGUAAACCACUGUCGGGAGGGACGAAUUGCGCCGCAAGGCGAGUGACGGUACCUCCAAAGAAGA